rnacentral:rRNA from 1 species
UACGUAGGGGGCAAGCGUUGUCCGGAUUCAUUGGGCGUAAAGAGCGUGUAGGCGGCCAGGUAGGUCGGUUGUGAAAACUGGAGGCUCAACCUUCAGAGGUCGACCGAAACCAUCUGGCUAGAGUCCGGGAGAGGAGAGUGGAAUUCCUGGUGUAGCGGUGAAAUGCGCAGAUAUCAGGAAGAACACCCGUGGCGAAAGCGGCUUUCUGGACAGUAACUGACGCUGAGGCGCGAAAGCUAGGGGAGCAAACAGG